GAUGAAGAACGUAGCGAAAUGCGAUAAGUAAUGCGAAUUGCAGAAUUUCCGUGAGUCAUCGAAUCUUUGAACGCACAUUGCGCCCUUUGGUAUUCCGAAGGGCAUGCCUGUUCGAGCGUCAUUAUCAACCCUCAAGCCUGGCUUGUUGUUGGACCUCAGGUCGCCGCUCCGGUGGACCGGUCUCAAAGACAAUGACGGCGUCCGUGGGACCCUCGGUGCAAUGAGCUUCUUCCAAAGCACGCAUCAGAGUGGGCUCGCGGGGGCCGUCUCCCCGUCAUAUUUUAUCAAGGUUGACCUCGGAUCAGGUAGGAAUACCCGCUGAACUUAAGCAUAUCAAUAAGCGGAGGA
rnacentral:misc_RNA from 1 species